GUCCACGCCGUAAACGAUGGGCACUAGAUGUGGGCGGUGUCGACUCCGUCCGUGUCGAAGCUAACGCAUUAAGUGCCCCGCCUGGGGAGUACGGCCGCAAGGCUAAAACUCAAAGGAAUUGACGGGGGCCCCGCACAAGCAGCGGAGCAUGUGGUUUAAUUCGACGCAACGCGAAGAACCUUACCUGGGCUUGACAUGUCGGUGAAACCCCUGGAAACAGGGACCCUCUUCGGAGCACCGUCACAGGUGGUGCAUGGCUGUCGU
rnacentral:rRNA from 1 species